rnacentral:lncRNA from 1 species
UGAUCAAACCAACCAGAUCAGCUACCGUUCGUUACACCAAGUAACAGAAUUACUGCUUUCGGUUUUGCUGCUCCGCACAUCCCUCUCACUCCUUGUUGGCCAUAAGACCUAACUAAAACUGUAAAAGGAUUACUACUAACCGCCUCUCCUGCGUCUCAGUAGGCCUAAGUAAAAGAAUUAUACACAGUAAAAAAUUCGUUACACCGAGUAACAAAAUUACUGCUUUGAGUUUUCCUGCUCCGCACAUCCCUCUCACUCAUUGCUGGUCAUAAGACCUAGGUAAAAGGAUAACUACUAACUGCCUCUCCUGCGUCUCAGUAGGCCUUAAGUAAAAGAAUUAUACAUGGUAAAAAAAAAAGCGUUUGACAUUUGUAUCAGUCCUUCCAGUAGUAAUUUUUUUAUUUAUCAGGUAUAACUUUAGGUUAGUAACUUUUUUAUUAACAUGUAUUUUGUGAUCAAUAAUACAUUUAUUUCCAUAUAUCUAAUGAAAUGUUAGUAAAACAAUUUUCUAUUGUCCUAAUACCGGAUAAAAAUCUUUUUACUCUACAUAGUAUCGCAUUGAAUCAUACAAAUCUCUGUAUGGAGAAAAAAAAAUACACAUCUAACAAAAGGAAAAACAGGUAUGCGUCUCACAAGCACGGCAACAGCAAGACAACAGAAAAACAUUUUAGUAUUUUACCCUUCAUUCCAGCAAUCAUGUUACAGAAUAAAACAAUUACUCGAAUACUCACUCUGAAUAACUUGUGACAUUAACUUCCAAAGGAAUAAAAUAGUUACAAUGAAAAAGAAUGCAGCAAGGCACCACGUCCGACAGCUUCUCGACUUGCUGCCGGACGAUGUCGGUCGGCCUGAGAGGCGUGCAGGCAGCAGCUGGGACGCUAGCUCCGACGAGCACUUCACUACCAGCGGUGAUACAAAGGCGUGUUCUACCUCGUUCUUCAGUGCAUGUCGUCCAGCCCGCUCGCGAGACUUCGAGCCUAUUUGGUUGGUGUCUUCUCCUUCAUACCUAAGAAAAUUAUAAGCCUGAGUGGCAUAUUCAAGGAUGUAAUAUAUGUUGCCUGGUUAGGCAGUCUGAGCCCGUGCUUGUUUGGUUGUCACUGGUUCCUAAGGAAAAAAAAUCCAUCAUAUGUUUGAUCAUUAUUCUGGCUACAACCAAUUUUUUUCUGAAACAAUUAUUACAUUGUGCUGUCGAGUAGUAAAACGAUUAUUCUGGCUAUGCUAAGUAUUACAUUCCUGAGAAAAAAUAAUCAUUUUACUGAUCAUUGUGAUAAGUAUUAAUAUCCGACACAAUUUUUUUUGCAUGUAAUUGCAUCUCGUACAACCAAAUUAAUCUAGCACAAUGAAUCCCUACACAAAUCAAUCAUAUACAGAAGGAAUGAAAAUUAAGGUAAUCUAAAAAUACGGGGGGAAAGGAAAAAGAAAGCAAAGAAUGAGCCGAUAGUUCACCCGUAUUGCAAAUCGAUCUGCUUACUCACCAAUGGGUGGGAGAAAUCCUUGGCUGGCGACACGGCAGCGACGCUGCUUUGUGUAGCCACCAAGAUCCAGCAAGGAAAUCAUCAAGAAGGAAAAAAAGAAGAGAAAAGAACAGGAGCAAAGGGAUCCCCAGAUCCAUGUCACAUCCAUCAAAGAAUGGAAAAAAAAGGGGAAAAGAACCGGAGUAAAGAGAAGUAAAUAAAAAACCAUGCAUCCAUCACCCUUGCCGAAAUGCGGUCGUCACUACCGACUCUCCUCCACGGCCUCCGCGAUGACCUCCUCCCUCCUCGGAGUCGGAGGGCACCACCAAACACUGGCCUGAACCUACAGCGUGCCAUCCCUGCCCGAUCUGACCGCACGUGCAUCGAAUCCGUCCUGCAAAACACCCAUGCACCCUCCUUUUUUUUUUUGCGAGGCACCCAUGCACCCUCCUUGCUUCACCGGCUGGCGAUGACGGUGACGAAACAACCCCUCAUCAGUGCAAUGCCGUUGUGCGGCGGAGUGGAGAGGGAGGUUGGUAGAUCCAUAAAAAAAUGGGAACAAAACUGACUGGGAUGAUGGAUGGUAUAUAUGGAUAGAAUAAAAUCGAGUAGUAAAACGAUUAUUCCAGUAGGGUGGGGGAGGGGAUGGGAUGGGAGGGGCGGAGUAAAACUAUUAUCCUGGUUAGGUGGGGGAUGGGAGGGGAGGGGCGGAGGACGUGGGUGUGGUGUGGGUCAGGACGUGCACUACGUGGACUCGUAGAGGCGCUCGAAGUAACUAGGAGCACAGUGCGCUCCUAGUAGUAGUACUACUUUUUAUGAAUUAAUAUUCCUUUAUGGAAUUAUUUUACAAAUGAAUGGGAACUAAUAUUUUAUUUACUAAGAACCACUUUGUGAAACUAAGAUUCUUAAAGAACUAAUUUAAAAGCCUUUUCUCAAAAUGUCUAGUUUGUCCCCCUUGUGGGUCCAGCCCAGCCCAAGAGCCUCAAACCAUUAGUCUCCAAAAGUCUAGAGGUCGUCCUUCCUCUUUUUCAGUUCCUCUUGCUCCCCCUAUCGGCCCAACUAGAUAGUGUUAAUGUCAAAAUUUGGUAAACCCCGAAGUCGUCAUUGGCCUAGAGUCAGUAUCAGCUUCAGAGUCCUGGAAUCGGCUGAUGGGAACUGUUACUUGCCAGGAGUCGGAUUCUUAGUGUAUUAGGUUAAAGAAAUUAAUCGAUUAAUCAAUUCGGUUAUUUUGAAUCUGAUCACGCCAAAGAUAUCUGAUAGUGCAAAGAAUUUUAUAUGAAUGAUAUCGGAAGAGUUUGAAGGUUCAUGAAGUAAGUGGCCCUUUUGCAUAUUUUUAGUUUUCUAUACAUAAAAUUAUUAAAGAACCAUGAACGUUCUGAUUCAUAGGAACGAAAAUAAGUGGACCUUUGAUUCAUAUGAUUGGUAAAGGAUUUCCAUAGGAUUCAACUUCUUAUAGAUUGUUUCAUACGUGUCCCUUUGAUUCAUAGGAAAGAAAGAAAACUUUCCAUAGGAUUAUAUAUUCCUAUAAUUCACAUUUAGUAGGAAAAAUAGCAAGAGGUGUGAUUUUUUUUUGAAUUUUUCUUUGUUUUUCCCAUGACACUAUCAAAUGACUCGUGUGUAACUUUCAUGUGUUUGUUGAUUCAUGUAAAUUUUGAGAAGCAUACAACUUCAAUUCAUGUGUUUUUCUUAUCUUGUGAAUCAAAGGGUCUAUUGAUCCCAGAUUCCCAGUGCUAUAUUUCAGCUAAAAUUUUUUUCUGUAACGAAUAAUGGAAUAAGUUAAAGAGAUAGGUCCAGAAACUAACAUAUGUUUGUAACUUUUAUUUUAUUUUUGUAUAUUUCUUUCUACGAUUCACCGGUUGUGUUUUGCUUUGGCAUGUAGUUUCGAAGCUAACAUGAGUGGCGGAGCUUUGGAAUGUGUUUGUUGAUUCCUGUAGACUCAUGUUAACUCAUCUAAUGAAUUAAUGAUUUAUGUUUUGGAAUCAUCUUUUUUUAGCUAUCAUUUACUGUAGAAAUUUCAUCAUCAAUUUAUUCAACAAUAUUAAAAUUUAGGGAUUUGCUAUACACAUCUGCCUGCAUUUUUUUUUGGGCAAUUGUGUUCUUAGCCCUAAUUUACAAUUGUGAUUUUACUCUUCUUUUUCAAACUAUGUGAUUUUGCCCUCAUUUUUUGAAACUAAAUGGUUUGUCUGCCCCUACUUUAGAUAUCUAUUAGGUGGAACUAGAUUAAAUGGGUUGAACAGAAUAAAAAAUGACUUACAAAAUGCUCCCGAUCCCCUUUCCAACCUCCCUCCCUCCUAAUCCCUAACCCUAGCUAGCGACGGUGGUGCACGCGGGCGAGCGAGAGGCGAGAGCGAGGAGCGCACAGCGUGGGACUGGCCAGCACGCGGUCAUCGCGGAGCAGCACGGGGUGAAGUAGGCUGGGCCAGCGCAAGAUGGUGAUGUCAGGCUGAGCUAACGCAUCUAGCGUGGUGGUCACUGGGCUCGUCGGCAUGAUCAGCCUCGGCCAUAGGUGGAACCUCGACUGGUCACAACCCGCUGCAAAGUAGAUGAGUACACACGUACUGCUGCAUAUAUGUACUCCCUCCGUCCCAAAAUGUACAGAUUCGUACUCCUAGGAUGGGUCUCAUCCUAUCCUGAGUUGCUACAUUUUGGGAUGGAGGAAGUAGCUAGCUAGGCUCGCCUACGGCAUGAUGGUGACAAGGAGGCAGUGGUGAAUCCAGGACUGAAAUAGAGGAUAGGCUCAACGUCGAAGAACUAAAGUUAAUUUAUGGGGAUGUGUUGAUUUCUUAAACAUAAAACAAUAGAAACAAAACACAGGAUCCUUUUGGACACUAAUUUGUCGAAUUCCGUUGAAAUGAGCUUGAAACCUUACCAUCUUAUGUCUUCCAAACAAAAAUAUGGUCAGGUGCUCUAUUUGGAGCAUUCAAUAAAUAUGCCAUCCUUACUUCAUCUCUUAUGUCAGGAGAAAAAAUAUUAGGCAUUCUUUAUGCGGGAUCAGCAAAAAUUUCAUUACGAUCAAAUUGUACUUGAGGCUUCUUUGGUUGAUUUGUGCUCUCAUCACUUGGAAUUGGAUGGGUACUAGUUAAAUUGAUUUGCUUGCAUAAUUUAACAACGUUUUUUUCUUCUCCAUUGCAAACCUAAGAAUAAAUCAAAACUAUGAAUCAUGAAGCUCAAAUCUUGUAAAUCCCAUCAUCUAGCUGCUGCUGUUGAAAACAGAGAUGAGGUGAGGACUCACCGCUAGCGGCUUGACGCUUGCUCUGCUAGCUGCUGCUGCUUGCCCCCGCUGCGACGCUCCCUGAUGCCCUUUGAUGGAUGGAUGACCUGAUAGCCAGAUCUGCUAGCUGCUUGCCCCUCACUGCCUGCUGCUCGCCCCUCGUCGCCCGGUGCGCCGCUACGGCGCUGCGCCGCCGCCUGUCUCUGCCUGCCCGUGCACAGCCUCUGCCUGCGCCAUGCUGCUCGCUGUCGCCGCCGGCCCGCCGUCGCCGGUCACGCCGCUAGACGCUAGGGUUGGUGGCUUUGUAGCGGCUUGCGUGAUUGAGGAAGCGAGAGAUCGAGGGAAUCAGCGAGCUGGAGUAGAUGGGCUAUCCAUGAAGUGACGAAGUCAACUGGGCCACAAUUGGGCCUAAUAUUUUUGUGCGUGCGUACCGCUUCGCUGGCCUUCUUUCUCGACGCCAAGCGCUGCCGCUGUUCAUCUUCUUCCCCAGCGAACGCCGCCAUGAUUUCUCCCGA